GGUCUAUUAGUGUAGUGGUUAUCACCUUCGGUUCUGAUCACGUGAGCGAUAGAAUAUCCGAAAGACCGGAGUUCGAAUCUCCGAUGGACCU
rnacentral:tRNA from 1 species